rnacentral:lncRNA from 1 species
GCCUGAGGGGCGAGAGCCCCCAAGGCUGUGGGUAUGAGGCCGGGGCCCUGCACCGGAAGGGAGGGCGGAAGCCACGGGACGUGGAGCAGAUGGUGAGGAUAGUGGGGAGGUAGCAGCAGAGGAUGACCCGAGGCAAAAGUGCAAGUGAAGAAAAGUCGCCUUGCCGGGCAGAGCUCUUCUCUUUUUCAGGAAAUUACUCCAGGAUUUGAAUCAUCACAAGAGAUUCACCAGAGGAUUUUAUACACUUGGGCUGUGGCAGCAGACUAAUUACAUCACAGCACUAGAGCUGAGAUACUGGCUGGGUGGAUUUCAGCAAAUUUCCAAGGGCACAUGACAUGUGGGCACAAAAGCCGGGAUUUCACACCAGGGGAUAAAGUAUAUCAGAAAUGAAGGCUGGGGGCAGAAUAAUAGACAAUAUCUCCCCGGAUACUUUUUAUCAGCAAGACAGGAAUGUUCCCCAAAUGACACUGCUUAAGAGAACUUUGAGGAGAACUGAGGGCAAGAUACAAGCCAUGGUUCUAUACAGAUAAGUCUACGGAAGCUGCAGAAAUAACAUUCCAGAUCCCCAGGAAUCCACCCACCCACCCCUCCGACUUUGGCCGAACACCAUGGCUGGCUGCCGUGUGAAGAAUGGACUGUAGGGGGUGCCAGAGUGGCUGUGGGAAACAUCCCCUAGAAAUCUAGAAUUCAAAGCACUUACUUUGAGUGAUAUAUCCACAAGAAAGAGCCUUCUGUGCUAAAAGCAAAA